UUUCCGUAGGUGAACCUGCGGAAGGAUCAUUCAUAAUAAAGUGUUGUAGGGCACUUUUUAAAAAUCCAUAUCCACCUUGGGAACAAUGUUAAGUCUCUCGUUCAAGACAGUGUCGACUGUUCUUGGGCAGGGUCUUUAUAUAUCAACUCUUUCUUAAACCAAUUUGUCUGAAAAAUAUUAUGAAUACUUAAUUCAAAAUGCAACUUUCAACAACGGAUCUCUUGGCUCUC
rnacentral:misc_RNA from 1 species